GAUGAACGCUAGCUACAGGCUUAACACAUGCAAGUCGAGGGGCAGCAUGACCUAGCAAUAGGUUGAUGGCGACCGGCGCACGGGUGAGUAACACGUAUCCAACCUGCCGAUUAUUCCGGGAUAGCCUUUCGAAAGAAAGAUUAAUACUGGAUAGCAUAACGAGAAGGCAUCUUCUUGUUAUUAAAGAAUUUCGAUAAUCGAUGGGGACGCGUUCCAUUAGUUUGUUGGCGGGGUAACGGCCCACCAAGACAUCGAUGGAUAGGGGUUCUGAGAGGAAGGUCCCCCACAUUGGAACUGAGACACGGUCCAAACUCCUACGGGAGGCAGCAGUGAGGAAUAUUGGUCAAUGGACGAGAGUCUGAACCAGCCAAGUAGCGUGAAGGAUGACUGCCCUAUGGGUUGUAAACUUCUUUUAUAUGGGAAUAAAGUGGGCCACGUGUGGCUUUUUGUAUGUACCAUACGAAUAAGGAUCGGCUAACUCCGU
rnacentral:rRNA from 1 species